AUGAUCUCAAAGACUCCCCUUCUCUGGCUGCUGCUUUUCUGGAUUCAGGGUUCCAGUGGGCAGAUUGUGAUGACUCAGACCCCAGAAUCCCUGGCAGUGUCUCCAGGAGACAGAGUCACCAUCAACUGCAAAGCCAGUUCAAGCAUUGGUGGUGCUAUAGCCUGGUACCAACAGAAAUCAGGACAAACUCCUAAGCUCCUUAUCUACGAUGCUUCCACCCGUCCCUCUGGGAUCCCAGACCGGUUCAGUGGCAGUGGGUCGGGCACUGACUACACAUUCACAAUCAGCAGGGUUGAAGCUGAUGAUGCUGGAGAUUAUUAUUGUCAGCAGUAUAACAGCUUCCCUCUCACAGUGAUACAGACCAGUACAAAAACCUCCCUGCUCUAUGAAGCAUGA